CAAACGUGAGUGGUGCUGAAUGGAGAUGGCUACUGGACCUGUCUUGUAUCUCUUGUCCCUUAGGAAACCCUAGCAAUCCUCUUGAGACAAGAUCUUGUGUGGAUUAUCAGAGGUUAAGCUGCUAAUCAACCAAGAUGUGAUCAUCUCCCUUUAAAGAAUAUUGCUACUCUUGAAGAAAAAAAAAUUUAAAAAGAGCAAACAGGAAUUUUAUGCAGAUAACUUACAUUCACCUAAAAACGUGAAGAUUGCUGAUCAAACGCAAGCCUGGUAGUCAUAUUUCCUUCAAACAACUGAUUUCAGUUCCUUAUUUAUUCUGUAGCUGAUCAAAACAUGGUGCCCUAAUUUUCAAGUUAUGCUUGUCAGCCCCAGGAGAUCAGUGAAAAUUUAAAUUCCAUAGAUGAAUCAACAAGUCGACGUAUCUCUGCAGAUGCAUAUCUUCCCACUGACAUGCACCAAGUGGUCCUUCAAUAUAAGAGUUGCCUUUUCGUCUCCAAUUGGAGUCAAUGAAGGAUUCAAUCUAAGCUGCUUUUUUCUCCUGACUCUAUAAUCACAUCAACAAUAAUGUUCCCCAAGAAAAUGUUAUCGCAGAAAUUAUAAUGAACAUAAUGUAGGUGGUUAGAUAAACAAUACUUAUUUUAAACCAACACCUGACUAAUGAGUGAAGUACUAGUAAUGUUACAUUACAAUCAGGAAUAAGAAAGGUACCUAAUCUACUGCUAAUAAUUAUUGUUUUGGAAAUUAUAGCUAAUAUAAUGAAACAGAAAAACUCAAGUAGGUAUAAACAUCAAUAAUGGGAGAUAAUGUCUAUAAGUUACAGUGGUACAAUUAUUAAAUGGGAGAUUCCAGAAAUAAACAAUUUAUACAUUUUCAGUUGCAUGCAGUUCGGAGUGCGGUGAUGAAAUCCUGGGCCUUCCUGCUCCAUCCGCCUAGGUUGAGAACCGUCCACCUGUCCCCACCAUAUACACUAUCCUUUCAUUAGACAGUCACCACAUGUGCUGCUGUUGUAUCGCAGGGCUUGUGUUCAAGGAGCCUUAUUUUUCUGAAUAAUAACCCCCAAACACAACAGUAGUGUUGCUGGCAACUUGGACACACCCAGGAAAAAUCAUGGAGUGCUUCAAGUGAAAACCUGGAAGCUCUUGACUUAAAAAACGACAACAACAACAACAAAAAAACAGUAUAAGCUGAAGUUGCUAAGACCUACAGUAAGAACAAAUCUUCUAACAGCAAUAUCGUGAAGAAGCAAAAAGAAAUGUAUGACAGCAUGGUUGACACACCCCAUGCCACAAAAAUGAUGGCCACAGCGUGUGGGCCAAAGGCGUGAGUUGUGAUUCCAUCAGACUCCUCUGAAAGAUGUGAUGUGUGCUGGAGGGGACAGAUUCCUGGAAACUUCAUGGAUCUCCAGCAUAGGAAGAUGACCUCAGCAUUCAAUGUAGAAGAGGCAACUAGCUGCCCCUUUGAAUGGUCUGCACACCAGGCGCUGAGAAGAGACACUUGGCUCUCAAAACGGUUAUCAUGUAUGGACCCACAUCAAUAAACAAGAAAUGUGUCCACGAAACACUGCAGGCCAGGUCCUCUGCCGGUGGCAGAAUGCAGAGGGGAAAAUUAAGAGGGGGACUUCAGGCUGCUGGUGUUGUGUCGCAUGAGCUUUUGCGGUGACCUUAAACAGGGGGCAAGAAUAGAUGAUGAGUUUAAUUACGUAAGACCAGCUCAAGAUAAACCGUGCAGUUUUGUUUCCUCUUUGAAAAGAAGAAAAAAAAAAAACUCAGGCUGUAACAGGCAACUGAACACUGAGCACCCCUUUGGUGCAGGAUUUAUUGGAGGAUUUGAUGACAAGAUUUGCUUGUAGAUUUCCACCUCCCUUAUGUUAUUUUCCUAGCUGGUCGUUUCGAACACCCCUCCCCCAUCUUUAUCCCCAACCAUCCUGUUCUGCAGCCAAAUAAAAA